UACGUAGGGGGCAAGCGUUGUCCGGAUUUAUUGGGCGUAAAGAGCGUGUAGGCGGUUUGGUAGGUCCGCUGUGAAAACUCGAGGCUCAACCUCGAGACGCCGGUGGAAACCAUCAGACUAGAGUCCGGAAGAGGAGAGUGGAAUUCCUGGUGUAGCGGUGAAAUGCGCAGAUAUCAGGAGGAACACCGAUGGCGAAGGCAGUGUUCUGGGCCAGUACUGACGCUGAGGAGCGAAAGCGUGGGGAGCAAACAGG
rnacentral:rRNA from 1 species